rnacentral:lncRNA from 1 species
GUUGACGGUGUAAUCGUGGCGGAGAGGUGGCAGACUAGCGGCGAAGGGUGAGAGAGGUUUAAUUUUUUUUUCUUUUCUUUUUUUCUCUGAUAGCCUAAUAGAGCUUUGAAAUAUUCUGGUUUUAGGGUUUUGAAGGGCAUUUAUACUGGGUAUAAAAUGACACCGUUUAGGCCCAUGCCAAUGGCUUUAAAACGGUGCCGUAUUGGCGUUCACCCGAUGACCCGACCCAGAUGCGGC